rnacentral:lncRNA from 1 species
UAAAAUAGAAAACUAGAUGUAUGCCUACAUUCCAUAGCAGUGUAGAUUUAUUGCUAAUAUAACAAUAGGCAUGCUUUCAUCAGUCAUAUGCUUACAUCAUAUUCUGUUGCUUAUUAUAAAGAGGAUACUAUUAUAAGAGAGAUUGUUUCAAAUGUUAUCGGCAUUAUGAGCACUUAAAGUUCAAGGUCCAAGGGGACCAUACAACAAUUGGAAGAUGUGGCUGACAUAGAUUGGCUUUUGGUACCAAACCAAGAAUUAAUGCAGCGAUAUCAGUUUAUGUAGGAAUGAAUCAGGUUUGGACCACGUCAGUCACAUUAAGAGAAUAUACUAAUUAUAAAAUUGAACAUAUCAGAGAUGAAUACCUUGGUUAAAAUAGAUGAUCUUUUUUGGAAUGUAAUUUACCUAAUUCUUUGCACUUCCAUAUUAAAACCUUAGUGGAGAAGUAAUAGAUGACUUGAAGAAUAAAGAACCAAGAUUUUGUUCCUGUCAAAUAAUAGAGAAGAAAUGGGAUUAUAACAUGUUCAGUGAGAGUAAUAGUCCUAAAAAUGUUUUUGCAUUAAAAUUAGUGAAAUCAAGGUGUUAAAAGAAUAAAAACAGUAUUUUUUUUGUGAUCAAAGGUUAUGCCAUAUUUGGAAUAAUUCAUUUAAUAAUGCAUUUAAUAGAGUUUGAGGAGGUAGGUUGCAUUUUUGUUGAAGUAGUCCCCCACUUAGAAGGGACACAAAUGCUAUAGUCAGUUCAGGAAAAGGUUACUGAAGCUGGUAUUACCUUCUCUAAGUCAGACGAGGCAAAGAACUUCCAAUUGUCUGUUUGAUACUAUAAGGCAAUUCAAUACAAGUAUCUCUACCUAUAUAUAUCAAGAUAACACUGGUUCAUUAAAAUUGGAGAAAUCCUAUCAUUUGUUAAUCUUUACAGAAGAGCUUUAUUCAAGUUUCCAUCAAAUAAAGACUAAAUAAAGCAACGUUAUUAUGAACAAUCCUAAGCAUCUCCAUCCAAUUUCAUGUCUUACGAUGCUUUUAGACAAGUUUAGUAAGAUUGCAACUUUUCAAAUGUGUAAUUUAGUAGAAGACAAUUCAUGCAUAGUCUGACUUUGAUGAUUGUAUUUAAGCAUGAUAUAGACAUUUCAUGGUCGGAUGUGGAGGGGAAUAUAUAGUUUGGAGGGUAAUUGUGGGAAGUACGAGAAGUUUGGGAAUUGUUGUUGCAAUAGGAAAAACCAUGUUGUGGCUGGUACAAGGCGUAGGUUAGGUGUCAUUCCUAGCUGUCUAGCAUAUCCCAAAAAUAAAUUAUGUCUUGAAUGGCAUGUAAGGAGGGAAGUAAACUGUUAAUAGGGUUAAGUUUUGAGGUGUCAUGAUAUAAUCGGAAUUGGAAGAUUACAAGUUGUUAGAGCUUAUGUGGUCGCUGAGGAGUUGGGGUGUUCAGAAACGUGAUGCUGGAUGCAUCAGUCUUAUUAUGUUCAGAUUUUGCUCGUGAGAACGAAGUUUUCUUCUAGGACAAGAAUUAAGAUUCUUUUGGUCUUAGAGGGCCUAGGAACUUGAACUCUUGGUGGCAUAAGAUGGCUGCCAUAGGAUGAGUUAGAAGUUUCUUUCCUAGAUGCAGAUGCAGGGUCUAUGUUGGGGUCUGAUGAUAUUCUUCUCUCUUUGAUCAGUAUGGAAUCCUGUCUCUUUGAUCAGGAGAGAAGCCUAUAGUGAUUAUGGGUGUUGGGUAUCGGAAUUGAAAAUGCAGUUGUGUGGACUAUUGUUCAAAAUUAGAAGAUGCAGCUUCUGUUUGUUGAGGAAGAGGAGUCUUGGAUAAAAACGUGUGAUGUGAUUAUAUAUAUCACAAGUGGAAAUUGUAAUGUUACACUUCUUCAUAGUGUCGUUAUAUUGUGUCUGAGUGGAAAAGUAUAGGAAUAUUUCAUUUGUUUUCUCUAAGGCCCUAUUUUAGGGAGGAUAAUAAUGGAGUUUUCAACUAGGUUUUUCAGAUCUCAGAAAUGUGUUUGUGAUGCACUUCCAUGGUCUUUAUGUUUCUCCUUGUUAAUAUACUUGUGUCCUUUCGAAAUGAAUUGUGGUUUAAGAUCAUUGUUGAUGAAGCAAUUAUUACCAUUUCUUAAAGAAGUGUUAUUGUAGAGUUUGAUUUUGGUUGGUCAAAAUAGAUUUGGGCCUUAAAUAAUUGUCUGAGUGUUCCUGUAAUGAGAUCACGUUUAAUGGGUAAAUUAAUUUAGAUUAUCAUGCGAUGGUUUCCCUUAGUAUAUUUAGGCGAGGUACUUUGGACAUUAAGUAUAUGAUACUACAGAGGAGUAGCACUUAAUUUGUAAUUUUAUAGGUUCUGCUUUGAUCUAGAUGGAUCGGUGUCCUUUUGUUUUUGGUCGACUUGAAUAUCCACACUAUGCAUUUGAAUUAAAAAAUUAUGAAGAAUAACAUCUUGGAAAUAUGAUUGAGUCUAUGGCGUCUAUCAAAAUAAAUCACAAUAGCUAGUCUUUGAUUUUAUUGGUGCAAGUAAUGAGGGGAUAAUUGAAUGGUGACUGUGUCAUGUGAUCACCGCCAUGAGUUUUUUUUUUUUUCUGAUUUUUGAGUAACAAAUAAGUUUAGAAUGUGAGGUGGUGUGAAUAUGAACGAGGAUUGAUGUGGUAGUCUUGCUCUCUAUGGGCAAUAACAUUUAGAAGCGUAGGUUUCUCCUUCAAGGGCUCGAGGUAGUUCAUAUUGGAAAAUCAUUGUUGGAGUGGGUUUUGUAGGAUAAUCUGUGUUUUGGUGGUUAGCCCUUUUCUUCUAAGGGAUGGAUAUAUGAAUUGCUCAUCUUGUUUGAUCUUCCAAUACUAAAUGGUCUUUACCGUGGUCUGGUGUUCUCAACCCUAGAGAAAUCAAUGGGGGACGUGGGAGAAUGGAGAGGUGUUGGGGGUACAAGGCACGGCAUGCUACAUAGAAUGCACUGUGUCUAUAUGGAUAUAUAAUCACAAACAUUGAUAUAUAGCCUUUAUAAUCACAGCUGCUAUGUAAUACAUUAUAAGAUACUCCUAGGUANNNNNNNNNNNNNNNNNNNNNNNNNNNNNNNNNNNNNNNNNNNNNNNNNNNNNNNNNCCUUUGCACACAACAACACCCUCCGCUUUAAAAGUGCUCCAAAGUAGAGUUACAUGCCAAAUCCAUUGCUAGAUGACAAGAUCUCCUGGUGCGCACUAAUGCCACCACUCAAGAACUCGUCUUUCUAAACACCUAUCAAUAGCUCCUGCAUCGUUGUCGCUUAUUCCACCCUUGUAGUAUGUGGCUGGAUUCGAACUCUUUAACUCAGAGGAAUCUAAAAGCUAUACCUAUAAAGCAGGCAAGGUAGAUAAGUCUGCACGAGUGUAUGAGAUCCAUUGAAGCCAACUCUGAAGAUGGGAUAAAUGAUGGUCUCAUGUCAACCUUUUGGGAGUGUCUUUGACCUCCUACGGAAUUUUUCCAUGAAAUGCUUGAAGUUAGUCUCACAUUAGUCGUCUCUCAUGCGGACUGCAGCAAGUAAAGAUUACCCUAAGGUAAAAAUUGAGGAAAAUUUUCUGAAGCUUUAUUAACAAUUACGUGAUGCCAAAAGAGUACAACUAUAGUCUAUUUAUAGAUGAGACUCCUAAAGCUAACAGGCUUUCUAUAAAAAUUUUCUAAAGAAAAUAAAACAGAUUCUUAGAGUUCUAUUGGAUUUCUAACUCAUUUAAAUUAUGAGUUGUAGAAUGGUGUUUUCAUAAUUUUUGGAAGUUUAUCAGGAUUGAUUCAUCUUUGAUAAAUUGUUAAUAAUUUUGUCGUCCGACCUUUAUUUUGGAUGAUUCAUGAUACGUUGAAAGCUAACCUGAUGCUUGGCAUCAUGACAGUGGCUUCAAAUAAAAAUUUUAAUUAUAUUAAUAUUGGUGAAGCUUCCUUUUGGACUGAUGUGCAUUAGGUUGCUUCUCUAAAAUAUGGUUGGAUAUCAAUUUUAAAAUUUUAGCUCAUUAGACAUAAACAAAUGAUGAGAGAAUUGGAAUAUUUAUUGGUAACUCGAUUUAUAAUUCAAAAAAACUGCAUGAACCAUCUGUCCUUAUGUUAGUGAUGAUAGCCAUGAUCCUACCACCUUAAUAGCUAUAAAACAUUUUAAGUUUUCAUGACCAAAAAUUACGAGGAGUGGACCGGCAAAACCAAUGUAAACUCAAAUCUUUAAUACCAACGUAUCCUAAGCUUGUGAUUGUGUUCAGUAAUUAAUGAUAUAAACGAAGAUAUCAUUCCAAUCAAAAAGAGCCAUUGUACGUCCAAUCCACCCUCCCAUCUCCCUCCUGCUCGGCUCAACUAACCCACACCCCAAAGAUCUUCACCCCUUUCAUCUCCUGCUCCCCCUGUGUCACUCCUGACGCUGCCAUUGGCCCGGAUAUCACCUCCUCCUCUUCCUCCUCUUCAUCCACCUCUAUUUUAUAACUGAGGCCUAAACCGAUCGUCACAUUCCCAUUUUCCUGGCCCCGUCCUUGUCGACAGGGCACUGCUUCAAUCAUGCAAUAUGCCCUCCGCGGGCCCUCUCGCUCCUCGCAGCGGUAGAAGGUAACAGAAUCCUUUGCCUGAAGUCCCUUCUCCUUCACAAACUUAUUCCAGCCCUUGGUGAAGACGUAACUCUGGCUGCUCUUCCAGUAACAAUACCGGAAGACCCACAGCCGGCUCUCUAGGUCCUGGAACUCAAGCAGGAGCUCGUCAUCGGACUCCGGAGACACCGCGGGGAAGAACCUCGUUGCGUGCUUCUUCGGUAUCACCAGCCUGUUCAGCUUCCCGACGUCGCUCGGCGUCAGCUCCUUGGUAAACAUUUCGCAGCAGGUGUUGCAGCUGCCACCGCCACCGCAGCCGCCGCUGCCAAUUCCACUGCGAGGUGAGCCCCUUGGUGGUGCUACCGGGGAGGCCUGAGGCGACUGCAUCACCCGCAGGUACUCCGCGAACCUCGACUCGUACGACCCACUCCUGAUCAUCUCGAGAACCGCCUCGGUGGAGAACUGCUCCUGGAACCGAGGCUCGUGGAUGGUGAGCUCGUUCCACGGGAGGUUGCGGUGGGAGUCGCCACGGUGCAGCUUGAUGGCCGCGCUGUCGUAGGCCGCCGCCGCCGCGAGCUCCGACUUGAACGUGCCCAGCCAGAUCCUGUUGUGGUGGGCGUAGAUCUGUGCGCCCCAAUGCCCAUUUUGUUGCAGCACAACACCCUUGUACCGCAUUGACGAGCUUGGCCGCUGCAUGAUCGACGGGCCGUCGCCGUCGCCGUCGCCGUCGGUCGAGCCCUCGCCUUCGCGUGCUGCAGUCGCUGUGGUGGUCAUGGACAGCAUGCUGCCAACCUCAACGACGCUACCGGCGUCGACCAUGCUAACGUCAUCGUCCUUUGCUUGAAACAUGUUGCAGGCGGAGCCUGCAACGGAGAAUAAUGGAAAGCCUCGGCAGUCCUCUUCCUCGGAGGGAAACCUGACGAGAGGCCAUCCAUCAAUCCCGUAUUAGACACGAUCGAUGGAGCAGUAGUUAUUAGAUACCAAUGAGAUAGAUACAUGCAAAAUAUAAUAAAAGUUGGUAUCGGUAGCCCAUCAUGAGAUGCAAUGCGAUAUAGUGUUACGAUAAGAAAGAGAAUAAGAAAAGAAGGAUGUCAUUACCUGGGGAAAAGGAGAGAUGAAGGGGCGGUGGUCCGUCGAGAAGGCAUGGCGAGAGAUGUAGAGUUCCAAAAGAGAAGGAUUUGGGGUGACGAGAUGAAGUUUUUAGAAAGAUAGGAGGGGAUGAAUGGGCGAAGAGACGACUGAAAGAAGGAAAUAAAUCCCGGGGGAUGGGCAGAGGGUGGACGGAGAACGGGGACUAAUUUGGGAAAGGUGGGGUUGGCCGUCUCCUCCAAAUUAGAAAACUUAGUGGGUUAACAGGGAUCCUCUGAAAUUUGACAGGCGGAUUGGCCAGCGAAAACAAAAAUAAAUCUCCGUUGGUCUUGAUGCCGUGCAAGAAAAAAAACGGUUGUAAGGACACCCAAGCCACCUUGUGCUCUCACUAAGGUUGUCAAUCCAAUGAGAGAGAGAGAGAGAGAUCUAGCUCAUGGAAUUGCGUUCUUAAUGCACUAAAUUGUGAGAACGCCCACGUCGGACUUUCUUAAAGGCAUCGGAAACCUAAUAAUUAAUGGUCUGGGUGUGAAGUUGGGCCUUUUUUUUUGAGUGUUUUCAGAAACAUGUGCAUAAUAAUAUUUUUAUGGAAAAAAAAAAGAAAUCUUGACUGCUGCAACUGAAACCCCAAUUCCCUGUAAAUUCCACCUUAACUGCAGUGCUUGGUUUGCAUGUCUGAACAAACUCUAUGCAAUCUGUGUGCUGGCUUCUAAUCUGUCGCUUACGUGUGGUCCAAAAUAUUGCGAUAGAGAUUUGUUCAAUAUUUGGUUAACCGGUGUGGCUCGAGGCAAAAACGGAUGUAGGAUUUUUGAUCCUACCUAUUUGACUGUUUUAUUUUUCUUUUUGUUUUUUGCUAAAAUGGAAGUAUCAUACAUAAUAUGUAUGAAUACAUGCAGUCAAAAAAAUUAAAAAGUAAAACAUCGUGGAGGGCACUAGGCAACUCUGCAUCUUUCACCCAUAGGAGGUUCUCUGAAUGGUUGGCGACAAAGGACGCCACCCAAUCCAUAGCCGCAUUCGCUUUUUUGAUUUGUCGAAACGCAUCUCCUCAACCUUUUCAAUUUUUUCUGCUCAUUUGAUUCAUUUUGUUUGGUUUAUCUUGUAGGCUGGUAUAGGUCGCCCAUGUUUAAUUGAAUGACAUCCACUACAAGUAUCAUAUUGCAUGAGUUCUGUCGCAUGUUUAAUACAAGGAUUGUGAAAGAUAUAGUGAAGCAAUAUUACUUCAGGAUUAAAAAGGGGAUGAAGGAUCUUUAUUUUAUCCAAAUCCUACCUGUUUAUAGCCCUAGGUGUCUUGUGAAAGAGUCAACGGAGACUAACUUGGGCAGGAUAUUGUUGGAACAGCCAUGUAAAUCUUGGACUGGAUUAUCUCAUUUUGUCUGAGUGAUACAGUUGGUAUGUCAUUUCAUUCGUUAGAAAGGAUAUUAAUAAAGAACAUAGCAUCAAAUUAUGAUUUUUAAAAUGAUUUAGUUUUCCCCCAUAUCCCUUUUAGGAAAACUUUCAUGGAAGUUUAAAUGUCUUCUAAUGUAUUGUUGUAUCGUGAAUACACAACUUUUAUAUUGAUUUAUUUUUUAUAAAUUUUGUAGAAAGGAACAUAAUUAUUGAUUUUUCAAGUUGAAGUGUUAACCGGUUAAUCUGCACGACCUCGUGGAGAAUAAUUCACUAUCGCUUUUGAGAAAAUGUAUAGUAGGAGGUAGAAGAAAGCAUUACUCGGUUUCAAGUUGGAACACAACUAGGGCUAUUACGCGAGAUCUAUCUCCAGACAUUGGUUCCCUAGGGAAGUAGAAAUCAGGCUUUUUCAUUGCUUAGAAACUUAGGUAGAGGAGGAGAUGAUGUUGGCGGGAAAAAAAGUAGGGAUUAGGCUGUAGAAAAAUUUAUAUACUAUCUCAUAGUAUGUAGAACAAUAUGAUCACUUCUCAAAUAAGAUUGGCUGGCCUAGGAUCACCACAAACAAGAACUAAAUAUAAGAAUUUGUGGCAGAAUUGCGAGAAGAAAAUAAUAUUAAAGAGAGAAUAAGUUUUCAAAGAGAGAAAUUUUUGGAGAGAUAAAUAAAUAUUUGUAUUAAUAAAAAAGUUAUAAGAUUCACUCCCUCUUUCCCUUCACUUCUAAAACUAUGACGUAGAACGACGUAGCCACGCUAGAGGAAGAACCGCCUGACUUUCUCACCAUCAGAACUUCGGCUUUCUUUAUAAAAAAAAAAAACUAAGAUACUCUUACAAAGACACUUCUUAAGUUAGCAUUAUAGCAAUGUGAAAUAGGAAAAGCCUUAUUGUAUUGAGAUUGCAAUUUUAUGAUCCAAGUAAGAAGAUGUGCAAUCAAGACCUUAAUUUGCGCAAUACAUGAUUAAGCUGGCAAUAAGUAGUGCUUCCCUCUCUAAAUCAUAAACCUUUAAUGCUGUCCUAAUUCAUAUCCAUUGCCUGUCUUGGUCAUUUAGAUAUACUAAUAUAUAAUUACUAAGGGAGUCCCCUAUAAUAUAAGUAUAUGAUGCAAGUAUCUUGAGAGAUAACAGUACUUAAGACUCGAACCACUGUUGCAACACUUUGGAUAAUAA